CACGUAGGGGGCGAGCGUUGUCCGGAUUUAUUGGGCGUAAAGAGCUACGUAGGCGGCUCGGUAAGUGAGGUGUGAAAACUCCAGGCUCAACCCUGGAGACGCCCACCUCAUACUGCCGUGGCUAGAGCCGGUAGGGGAGCAUGGAAUUCCUGGUGUAGCGGUGAAAUGCGCAGAUAUCAGGAGGAACACCAGUGGCGAAGGCGGUGCUCUGGGCCGGAACUGACGCUGAGGAGCGAAAGCGUGGGGAGCAAACAGG
rnacentral:rRNA from 1 species